rnacentral:rRNA from 1 species
CAGUCGUACCUUCGGGUAAUCAGCCUUUUGGGUGUGAUUUUGUGGAGUGUGAAGAGUUAAAUGCCUUUAUGCCUGCAUAUUCGUGCACUUUGGGUGUACUUGCCCGUAUGGUUGGUUAACAUCAAUUUUGGUGGUCAUAAAAUGACUGGAGGAAUGUAGCUUCGAUCUUGUAUUGAAGUGUUAUAGCCUUCGGUAGAUGUGAUGAUCGAGAUUGAGGAUUGCAACGGAUACCCUUCGGGGCUACCUGUCUGAUCUCUGAUCGUUGCUCUGGUGCCGAAAGCUUGCUUACGGUUAUCAAAGUCGAUGGUCAAUAGGUUAGAACGGGUUAAA